rnacentral:rRNA from 1 species
UUCCGGUUGAUCCUGCCAGAGGUUACUGCUAUCGAGGUUCGACUAAGCCAUGCGAGUCGAAUGUAGCAAUACAUGGCGUACUGCUCAGUAACACGUGGACAACCCGCCCUUAGGUUGGGUAUAAACCCGGGAAACUGGGUAUAAUCCCCUAUAAGUCUCGGCUGCUGGAAUGCACCGAGAUUAAAAGCUCCGGCGCCUAAGGAUGGGUCUGCGGCCUAUCAGGUAGUAGUGGGUGUAGCGUACCUACUAGCCUACGACGGGUACGGGUUGUGAGAGCAAGAGCCCGGAGAUGGAUUCUGAGACACGAAUCCAGGCCCUACGGGGUGCAGCAGGCGCGAAAACUUUACAAUGCUGGCAACAGCCGAUAAGGGAACCUCGAGUGCCCAGGUUACAAAUCUGGCUGUCGAGAUGCCUAAAAAGCAUUUCAUAGCAAGGGCCGGGCAAGACCGGCGCCAGCCGCCCGCGGUAACACCGGCGGCUCGAGUGGUAACCGUUAUUAU